rnacentral:sRNA from 1 species
ACUCUCCCCCGGGAGGGCCUGCUAGCAGGCAGAAGGGAGCCACACUUUUCAUGCUGAGCGCAUUAAAGUGCCGGUAAAUUGCGCAUUAACGAGGCGGGGUGAAUUGGAGAGGGCUCCCCUGGGCUUUGCUGCUGCUGGGCGGGCUCAGCUGGGAAAUCCAUCACUGGCUGCCCCAGGAGGCAGCCUGGAGUCCCCCCGCGGGGCUCCGAUGGAGGGUCUCCCCUCCCAGCCCCUCCCUCCGCCGUCCUGCUAAGGAAACAGACAGAUAGGAAACUUCUUACAGAUUGUGGAGAGCUGCAGCCAACUCCAGGGUUUCCAGUCUGAGGAGGUCUCACCUGCUGAAGCAGCCAGCCCUGGGACGCCCCGGCAGGCGGAGGACAAGACCCGGCAGGAGUCGAGCUUUGAGGACAUGAUGGCCACCAGGUCCUCUGACUGGCUCCGGCGGCCUUUGGGGGAGGACAAUCAGCCAGAGACCCAGCUGUUCUGGGACAAGGAGCCUUGGUUUUGGCACGACACUCUGACCGAGCAACUCUGGCGGAUUUUUGCCGGCGUCCACGAUGAGAAGGCAAAGCCCAGAGACAGACAGCAGGCACCAGGCCUGGGGCAGGAAAGCAAGGCACCAGGAUCCUGUGACCCAGGAACAGACCCAUGUCCCGAAGAUGCCUCCACCCCCAGGCCACCUGAGACCUCCUCCAGCCCCCCUGAGGGUUCCCAAGACAAGAACACAAGUUGGGGUGUGGUCCAGGAGCCUCCUGGAAGAGCCUCUCCGUUUCUACAGUCCAUAUCCUGGGACCCUGAGGACUUUGAAGAUGCAUGGAAGAGGCCAGAUGCCUUGCCCGGGCAGUCUAAGAGACUCGCCAUCCCGUGCAAACUGGAGAAGAUGCGGAUUUUGGCACAUGGGGAGCUCGUGCUUGCCACGGCCAUCAGCAGCUUCACGCGGCACGUGUUCACCUGUGGCAGAAGAGGCAUCAAGGUGUGGAGCCUGACUGGCCAGGUGGCUGAGGACAGGUUCCCUGAGAGCCACCUGCCUGUACAGACCCCUGGGGCCUUCCUGCGCACCUGCCUGCUGUCCUCAAACAGCAGGAGCCUGCUCACCGGUGGCUACAACCUGGCCAGCGUGAGCGUGUGGGACCUGGCGGCGCCCUCCCUGCAUGUGAAGGAGCAGUUGCCCUGUGAGGGUCUCAACUGCCAGGCCCUGGACGCCAACCUGGAUGCCAACCUGGCCUUCGCCAGCUUCACCAAUGGUGUGGUCAGGAUCUGGG